AGUUGUUCCCUGGAGCUCAAGGAGGGAGGAUUGGAUGCCUUGCAAGCACCCUGGAGCUCCUAUUAGAGACUGGGGAAGCUAGAGAUAAUUCCUGGCUGGCUGCUAAGACUGGCCUGCUGAGGCCCUGAGAGAUGAAGAAAAACUUCUGGGUCAUUUAUAAAACCAGAAUGUGUUGAUAGGCAGUAGAUGGUACAACACCAUUCUCACAGGCAACUGAUGGACCCUGGGUCGCAACCGCUUCUUAAUGGGAGAUCAACAGGAUCUGCUCAUGCUAAAGAGGCCUGGCUCUGUGAUCACUCAAGGGUGACGAUCUUCUGGUCCAUGUCGCUGCGCAAACACAACAGUACCGUGGCUGCGGCUAGGACGGACAGCAGCUAAGCAGCGGGCGCUCAGCAUUUAUAUAGGCACACAUGCACCAAAGUUUUGAGAACAGGUGGUGUCAACUUUUUCAUAGUGUGGAUGAUGAGAUGUGCAAACCUCACACUGGGGAGCAGAGGGUUAAGGAGUACCUUGGAGCCCAGGAAACUCCACCCAACCACAUCUGCUGGAUGUGCUCAUAGUGGAGGUGGAGUUAAAAGGACAUCACCCAGAUCAGGCAGGGUGGUCAGUGCAAGUAAACAGGCCUGCACUGGUAGCUCCUGGAGGGAUUGAGCAGGUGUCCCACUCUGCCCCAAAACAGAUGGUAAAACAGAGCUGCAGGCUGCUGCUGAAGAGGUGUAGGAAAGAACCUUUGGACCCCUUUCAGUUGAGUAUGCAUUGCAAGCCAAGAGCUAGGCCCCCCCGGGCCUCUGGAGAGGUAGAGGGUGCAGUACCCUUGCUCAGGCAACACCCCUAAACUGCCAGCUCCAGGGCUUGGGUGGAACCUGGCACAAUAGGAGCGCCUGGGUUUCUCUACUGUCAGUUGAAGACUUAAGCCACUAGGUGCUAUUGUAAGUUGCAGACUUAAACCAUUAGGGUAUGCAGGGGAGACCCUUUCUACUUUCUGAAAUUGAAUUGAACAACUUUUCAAAACAUAAAUUGUCUUGUGAAUACCUUCCUCCCAUGUGUAGUCAGGUGGACUGCCUAUCAACCCAUUUGCCAAUCCAUGUGCUCACAUGGAAAAAUACCAACAUUAGAGAGGUAUUAAUGUUUCAGACUAUGUGUUACUGGCAUUUGGCAUUAGGAAAUAAAGAGGAGGACUUAAGCACUGUGACUCCAGAGAGUUCUCCAUGGAUCAUCAUGCAGUUCUCUAUGGACAUGUAACAGGGUGGACUCAGGGUGCUGCCACACUUGUCCUGGGAAAGGAGCAGUAGAAGAGUCCUCCAAGUAGCCUACAGUGCUGCAGGGGAAGUAGUCAAUCAAAAAGGAUGCAGGGAGCAGCCAAUCAGGGCUCAGGAGGCCAUAUAAAAAGGAGCUGCUGCAGCAGCAUAGACAGCCAGUGCCUUGCUGGAGCUAGAGUACAAAUGGUGUUCCUGGCCAGCCAAAGGGAACUGCAGCACCACAGACAGUUCAGUGUGGGCAGGGACUAGAGGAGUAGGAAAGAGCUCCUGACUGGCUGCUGGGCCUGAACAGAGCCCUGAGGUCAGGGUGAAGCAUUGGUGAAGGCUGGUGUUGCAAGGAAGCGGCCCAGGGAACUGACAGCAGUUUAGUUAGAGACAUAGUGGUAUAUGGCUGCUAUUCCUAGGGUCCCUGGGUUGGACCUCAGAGUAGUAGUUGGGCCUGGGACACCCCAUAAGUCACUGGGGAAAUUGCCUACAAUUGGCCAGGGAUAAACCCCCAGAAGGUUUGAACUGUUAAGAGGCCCAACUAGAGAGCUGGGGCCAGAACAGAUUAGAGUGGGCUAAGAGUCUCUAGGAAGAAGUCCUUGGGGCAUGGCCCCCUACCAGGGCCAGGAGCCCAUAAAGACUUUGUUGGACUAAUAGCCCAGAAGGGGUCUUUUUGAGUUGUGUUCUAUACAGAUUGUGUGUGACUCUGCCGGAGGACUGAGUCACUAGAAACUGACAGAGAAACUGCCAAAAGGGGUCACCACAGACUGAAUGAGAUGCAGACACACACCCAGCUAGGGGGUACUCAUGAAAGAUGAAUGCCACUCUGUUUCAAGACCAUAGUUUAAGAACAUCUGCUAUAGAAAAAAGUUCUGUUUAUAAAAGAUUAAUCAAUUGUUGUAAAGUCCAAUAGGUUGUUUGACCAUGGCUUAUCUCUAUCUCCUUCUACUGAUUGUGCUUGUAACUCGUACUGCUCAUGUCUGUAACAUACUUACAAAAAGUUAGUGAUAUAUGUUAUAAUUCAUGUAUAAAUGAAACCUUCAUAUUAACUGUCUCAAAAUAGAAUUGAGUUUGUUUUGCAAUAGUGAAACAUAAGGUACUUGAUAAGCUGGGAAAACAUGUUGGAAGCUCGGUUGUUUGGUCAGGAUGUUUCAGUCCAUCACAACAAUUAACUUUACAUAUUUCUCCAGUAUUUUGAACAGUGAAUAAAGUCACUUCAGGGUCAGUGCCAGAUUUGAAAGAGUAUUUUAAGCAACUCCUUUGUCUUAUUUUUCUAUUCUGUAGUCCUGAUCCAUGAUAUUUGUGGUGAUGGUUUCCCUCUUACUGGGUCCUGUCACAUAAAUUGUGUGUGUUUUUUUUUUUUUUUUAAAUAGAGCAAUUCUAUGUAUUACUUAGCAUACAAUAAAGAGAAAGCAAUUAACAUACAAAAGUGUUGCCAAUU